GAAAUGCGAUAAUUAAUGUGAAUUGCAGAAUUCAGUGAAUCAUCGAGUCUUUGAACGCACAUUGCGCCCCCUGGUAUUCCGGGGGGCAUGCCUGUCCGAGCGUCAUUGCUGCCCUCAAGCACGGCUUGUGUGUUGGGCUUCCGUCCCUGGCAACGGGGACGGGCCCAAAAGGCAGUGGCGGCACCAUGUCUGGUCCUCGAGCGUAUGGGGCUUUGUCACCCGCUCCCGUAGGUCCAGCUGACAGCUAGCCUCGCAACCAAUCUUUUUAACCAGGUUGACCUCGGAUCAGGUAGGGAUACCCGCUGAACUUAAGC
rnacentral:misc_RNA from 1 species